UACGUAGGUGGCGAGCGUUAUCCGGAAUGAUUGGGCGUAAAGGGUGCGUAGGUGGCAGAUCAAGUCUGGAGUAAAAGGUAUGGGCUCAACCCGUACUGGCUCUGGAAACUGAUCAGCUAGAGAACAGAAGAGGACGGUGGAACUCCAUGUGUAGCGGUAAAAUGCGUAGAUAUAUGGAAGAACACCGGUGGCGAAGGCGGCCGUCUGGUCUGGAUUCUGACACUGAAGCACGAAAGCGUGGGGAGCAAAUAGG
rnacentral:rRNA from 1 species